UACGAAGGUCCCGAGCGUUGUUCGGAAUCACUAGGCGUAAAGGGAGCGUAGGCGGCGUGGUAAGUCAGAUGUGAAAUCCCGGGGCUCAACCCCGGAACUGCAUCCGAUACUGCCGUGCUUGAGGGUUGGAGAGGUAGCUGGAAUUAUCGGUGUAGCAGUGAAAUGCGUGGAUAUCGAUAGGAACACUCGUGGCGAAGGCGAGCUACUGGACAACAUCUGACGCUGAGGCUCGAAGGCCAGGGGAGCAAAAGGG
rnacentral:rRNA from 1 species